rnacentral:snRNA from 1 species
AUUGCUUCUCGGCCUUUUGGCUAAGAUCAAGUGUAGGAUCUCCAGCACUAUUACACAGUACUUUUUACAGUACACUCUUA